GCUGACACAUCCCGGCCAAUCUCCAGCAGACCCUCCCUCCCUCCCAGACCCUCCUACUUCCUGGACAGCAUCCAUGUUGAAGCUGCCUUCAACAUGGAUGCUGUCCAGGAAGUAGGAGGGUCUGGGAGGGAGGGUCUGCUGGAGAUUGGCCGGGAUGUGUCAG
rnacentral:miRNA from 1 species